CUCUGCUAUUAACCAUUUUAUUUCUGGGGCACCUUGUCUGGCUGCUCAAGCAAGGAGGAGAGUACUGCAAGCAGGGAAUUGCUCUGGGGACCCGCUGCACCACAAAGUUCAGGCACGUAAGUACACCCACCAAGGAGCAUCAUGAAGGACUUCUUUCUUCUGGCUUUCCUUAGCACUGAAAACUGGACUGCAUUUUUUUUUACAAGCGCUGAUAAAAUAUCUGCCAUGCGAGUAAUGGAUCAUGCACAGCUUGAGGUCUUCCCUGCGCCCAGCAAAUCUCUGCAGAGCUAUGUGGCCCCUGCUAUACCUUUGGAAUAAAUUCCAUAGUGUCUCUGAAAAUGGUGCAGAACCUGAGCUUGCCUACAGAAGUUGCUGUAGUGGAGCGACGAGCAGCUCUCAACUCCAUUUCACUUGUUCCCUGUGCAUUGCCACCACAGGCACACUGCAGUUCCACACCAGUAUCAGCUUUUAUUGCUUUCUUUACUCCUCUGGGAAACAGAGAUCAAGAACAGCUAUGGCAAGUUAGGCAAUGUCUUCAGCCUCUAGCAUCAUUAGUGUAGGUAAGCACUCUAAUGGAAGUCAGUGUAAGCCAUCGCUUACAGCUCUUAUUUAAUCCACUGUAUGUUGAUUCCUAUGAAUAAUCUCCAGGUAUUAUUUCAGUGCUUACGCGGUUGAAUUCCUACUGAACCAUGGGCAUCCACUCUUCAGAAGAGAAACCCAUAUCCCACAAGCAGGAUCAUUUUCUAUUCCCU
ensembl:lncRNA